AGAAUUUUAAGUUAUUAUAAACUAGAAGCCUUCAAAGCUUAAAAUAAAAGAAAUCUUUUAAAUUCUA
rnacentral:tRNA from 1 species